GCAUAUUUAGCUCAGCGGUAGUAGCAUCUGACUUCUAAUCGGAAGGCCGGGGGUUCGAUUCCCUCAGUAUGCA